UACGUAGGGGGCAAGCGUUGUCCGGAUUUAUUGGGCGUAAAGAGCGUGUAGGCGGUCAGGUAGGUCCGUUGUGAAAACUCGAGGCUCAACCUCGAGACGCCGAUGGAAACCAUCUGACUAGAGUCCGGAAGAGGAGAGUGGAAUUCCUGGUGUAGCGGUGAAAUGCGCAGAUAUCAGGAAGAACACCGGUGGCGAAGGCGGAUCUCUGGGCCAGUACUGACACUGAGGAGCGAAAGCGUGGGUAGCAAACAGG
rnacentral:rRNA from 1 species